AGCUUUGCGCAGUGGCAGUAUCGUAACCGAUGAGGUCUAUCCGAGGUGCGAUUAUUGCUUGUUGAAAACUUUAAAUUUAAAAGAUUUUCGGGACUAGUUCUACAAACAUUUUAAAUCGCCAUGUCGA